AUUGAACGCUGGCGGCAGGCCUAACACAUGCAAGUCGAGCGGAGCGGCGGACGGGUGAGUAAUGCCUAGGAAUCUGCCUGGUAGUGGGGGAUAACGUCCGGAAACGGGCGCUAAUACCGCAUACUAUCAGAUGAGCCUAGGUCGGAUUAGCUAGUUGGUGGGGUAAGGGCCUACAAAGGCAACGAUCCGUAACUGGUCUGAGAGGAUGAUCAGUCACACUGGAACUGAGACACGUUCCAGCUUCCUACGAGAGGCAGCAGUGGGGAAUCGUGGCCAAUGGGCGAAAGCCUGCUCCAGCCAUGCCGCGUGAGUGAAGAAGGUCUUCGGAUUGUAAAGCACUUAAAGUUGGGAGGCGUUACCAACACACUAAGCACCGGCUAACUUCGUGCCAGCAGCCGCGGUAAUUC
rnacentral:rRNA from 1 species